CAGUUUUAAAAAGUUCUUUCUCUUAAAGGAGUAAAGGUGAUGAUUCUAAGUGAUUGGGGAAAAAAUGGAAUAACCAGCUUUCUUUCAAAUGGUUGUUCAAAAGACGCAUUCCCAUAUAAUUUAAAAACAGGCACCAAUGAUGUUUUCAGGAGUCAUUGUUAACUAACGCUUUUUUUCUUCUUGUCAGUGGAGACAACCCCAGUCAGCCACCAGUGGGUCUGUGACAUUGAAAAGGACAUUGCCCAGCGCAGUUGGGGCCGGGACUCCACAUCUACUGCUUGCCCUUGCCAAACAGCUGUGUUCUGAGCAAACAGCGUGAUGACACUCACCUGCAGGAAGCGGAAAUGGGGUCAUGGAGUUGGGCUGCAGUCACAGGUGGGGUCACAAAGAGCUGAUGGCGCCACGGUUCCACCCCAACAGGCGGGCCAGCCUAUCAGGAGAGCGCCAGGACAAUGCCGAAAGAACGUCUGUUGCUCUUAGUAAUGAGCGACAGUUCUCCAGCUGUCGGUGUUGCCUCGACUUCUCCAAGUUUCUGGUGUUUAUGAAGACCCAUAACAGCUGGCUGCAAACUCAACUCCUGAGAAUCGUUUCUGGGAGAAUGCCGAAGACUGCAUUUCAACUCCAAGAAUGGUGUACUUUAAACAUGCUGUAUAUUUGAAAUGAUUUCUUUGGAAGAGAAGAAGAAUUGGAAACAUAGG
rnacentral:lncRNA from 10 species